rnacentral:misc_RNA from 1 species
AGCAAGUGUGUCCCAGUUAAUAUCCCUAAAGAAAGGGUGCUGUUUCACCUCUGAGGCUCCUCCGGCUCCAAGCCUCUGGUUGGGAUCUUCUCUAAGUAACCGGUCAAUCAGAUCAAAUGCCUCGGGACUCAUUUCCUCAGGAACUCCGGGCCAAGGUAUAUUACGAUUGAGAAUAUUGUCAAAUAUUUUCUGAGGAUGCUCCGCAUUGAAAGGUGGCAUGCCAACAAUCAACUCAAAGAGGAUAACACCCACAGACCACCAAUCA